AGAGAAUGGUGUGAACCCGGGAGGUGGAGCUUGCAGUGAGCCGAGAUUGCACCACUGCACUCCAGCCUGGGUGACAGAG
rnacentral:snRNA from 1 species